rnacentral:lncRNA from 1 species
AGUUCAAUGCCACAGCAGAAGCACUCACAGCAUAGCCUGUCAGAUUCCAAUGAAUCUGCAAAUUCUGCU